rnacentral:lncRNA from 1 species
GUGUCAGGUGUUUCAAUGGCAGGAUGAGGGUAGACAAUGGUGGGAUGGGGAUAAGGUGCUAUUUUUGAGAAGACAGCCAGAGAAAGCCUCUUUGGGAAACCACGUUUGAAGAGAUAAAGUUCCUAAGUGUUAAGGGAAUGAAGAAGCAAUCCAUGAAAAUAUCCAGGGGAGGAGUGCUCCAGGCAGAGAGGUCAGCAAAUGUGGAGGUAGAAGUUUGGAGGAUGGUUGGUAAAAGGUGGAGAGAUGUUCUUGGGGAAUGGACGGAAGGCUCAAGGGAAUGAUGAGGGACAUCAAUAGCCAGGAUUCCCCUUCCAAAGGUUGCUGGAAGUGUGAGCAGUAAUUUGGUUAUGAAGCAAGAGAAUGUUUUAUUCUCUUUCGAUUGGUUGUGAGAACCCUACAAAAAGAUCCAUUAAAGAUGAAAAAUGAAACAUGCUCUGAAAAGCGUACCAAUCUUUUCAUGUUCAUUAUAGUUUAUUGUGUUUCUGAAGACACAAAACCAGAUAAUGAAAUACAUAAGUAGAAGAGGAAAUAUCAUUAAGUCAAAUGCCUGACAGAAAAUGGAUUAUACUAAAACACACACAGUUCUGAUAGCAUUUUACAAUAAAAA